rnacentral:sRNA from 1 species
AGGAUACAGGUAGCGGUGCCCAUUGUCCUGCCCACCACUCUGGGCCACUGUUCCAAAUGAAUGACAUAUUCAAGGAAGAGGCUUCCCACAGACACUCGUUAAGUCCUUCCAGAUCCGGGCAAAGGGGAGGCACAGCCAUCAGAGCAUGGGCUCCCACUGUCAGGAGCUCUCUGUCUCAUCCUUUUUCGACACCAAGCACUUUUCCUGAAUCAGAAAGGAAAUGUGAAGAUUUUGCAUGACAGGCAAUGAGUAAGGGGCUAUAUACAGUGACAACGGCAUUUGAGGGGCCUCAAGUUUCUUGUCCUUUAUCCUUAUAACCAAUUAAAUAAAGAAUGGGAAACUACCAAUUAAAAUGUCCUAGGUAUCAAGAAAUGUCCUAGGAUCAAGGGCCCUUCCAUGGUCCUCUUCAGGCUCCUUGUUUUGAUUCCCCUGAACUACUUUGAUCUUGCUGUCAGAUUACCCCAGGGACAGGGAAGUCAGCUUUCUUCAUGUAUUCUGUCAUCCUGGUAGCUAGUUACAGGGAAAGAGAGAAGACUGAGAUUUUGUAAAAUCUACUUCUGAAAAAAAACUUUAGAAGCUCCAAUGAGUUGCCUCCUCAUAAAGCCUUUCACAUACCAUAACCAAGAAGAAAGGCAUUUGCCUCCAACCCCCACUCUUUAAUCAAUUGUCCCCCUGGGGUGUCUUUCCUCUCAGACCUAAUCUAACCCAUUUUCCUUUGGCUAGAAAUGUCUGGUUCUUGGGCUGGGGAGAUGGCACGGUAGGUAAAGGCAUUGCCGAAAAGCAUGAAGGACUGGAAUUCACAACACCCGAAAGAAGGGAGGUACUCCUUCUGACAACGGGCAUGAACGAGGAACAGGAGUUGGUCUGAAGCAUGAAGGAAAGGGACAGAGAGGCAGACAGUGCUUCUGGAUAGGGGACAUCGGUUAGUUCUCCGUUAUCCUAAUGAAACCCCCGAGAUAGCGGAGUUUCAAAGGGAAGGAAAAUGGUUUCCUUAGCUCACCAUCUCAGAGACUCUACGUUCAGGAUUAAGAAACCUCCCCUGGCUCAGCCUCCAGAGCAGCAGGUAGCUUGACAUCAUGGUGGGAAGAAGGCAUUGGUCCAUCAGCAGACAGGAAGUCGGGGUGUGGUUUGGGGGCCUUGCUUAGGCUUUGUUCACAGCUCACUGUUAUUUCCUUCCAAAGAUGCUAACGGCUUCAAGUGCUCCCCCAUGUCUUACCUCUUUAAGGUCCCACCAAUCACCACACCUCAGGACCACAGCAGCCACACGUGGACUCUUGAGAAAUAAACAAGAGAGAACACAGACUGGACACAGGAGGGGCCAAGGCUUCCAGGGACGUGCUGGGGACAGCGGGACAGUUGGG